CCUACGGGAGGCUGCAGUGAGGAAUAUUGGUCAAUGGACGAGAGUCUGAACCAGCCAAGUAGCGUGAAGGAUGACUGCCCUAUGGGUUGUAAACUUCUUUUAUAUGGGAAUAAAAUGUUCCACGUGUGGGAUUUUGUAUGUACCAUAUGAAUAAGGAUCGGCUAACUCCGUGCCAGCAGCCGCGGUAAUACGGAGGAUCCGAGCGUUAUCCGGAUUUAUUGGGUUUAAAGGGAGCGUAGGUGGGUUGUUAAGUCAGGUGUGAAAGUUUGCGGCUCAACCGUAAAAUUGCAGUUGAAACUGGCAGUCUUGAGUACAGUAGAGGUGGGCGGAAGUCGUGGUGUAGCGGUGAAAUGCUUAGAUAUCACGAAGAACUCCGAUUGCGAAGGCAGUUCACUGGACUGCAACUGACACUGAGGCUCGAAAGUGUGGGUAUCAAACAGGAUUAGAUACCCGAGUAGUC
rnacentral:rRNA from 1 species